GUGCUCACUUCAGCAGCACAUAUACUAAAAUUGGACUGAUACAGAGAAGAUUAGUAUGGCCCCCUGCGCAAGAAUGACACGAAGAUUCGGGAAGCAUUUCAUAGUUAU